CCUACGGGAGGCAGCAGUAAGGAAUAUUGGUCAAUGGACGCAAGUCUGAACCAGCCAUGCCGCGUGAAGGAUUAAGGUCCUCUGGAUUGUAAACUUCUUUUAUCUGGGACGAAAAAAGGCGAUUCUUCGUCACUUGACGGUACCAGAUGAAUAAGCACCGGCUAACUCCGUGCCAGCAGCCGCGGUAAUACGGAGGGUGCAAGCGUUAUCCGGAUUCACUGGGUUUAAAGGGUGCGUAGGCGGGCAGGUAAGUCAGUGGUGAAAUCCUAGAGCUUAACUCUAGAACUGCCAUUGAUACUAUCUGUCUUGAAUAUUGUGGAGGUAAGCGGAAUAUGUCAUGUAGCGGUGAAAUGCUUAGAUAUGACAUAGAACACCUAUUGCGAAGGCAGCUUACUACGCAUAUAUUGACGCUGAGGCACGAAAGCGUGGGGAUCAAACAGGAUUAGAUACCCUGGUAGUCCACGCCCUAAACGAUGAUUACUCGACAUUUGUGAUACACUAUAAGUGUCUGAGCGAAAGCAUUAAGUAAUCCACCUGGGAAGUACGACCGCAAGGUUGAAACUUAAAUGAAUUGACGG
rnacentral:rRNA from 1 species